GGGGGCGUGGCUCAGUGGUAGAGCCCCUGCCUAGUAUGCAGGAAGCCCCCGGCUCCA
rnacentral:tRNA from 1 species